rnacentral:rRNA from 1 species
AGACCCGAAACCCGGUGAUCUAGCCAUGGGCAGGUUGAAGGUUGGGUAACACUAACUGGAGGACCGAACCGACUAAUGUUGAAAAAUUAGCGGAUGACCUGUGGCUGGGGGUGAAAGGCCAAUCAAACCGGGAGAUAGCUGGUUCUCCCCGAAAGCUAUUUAGGUAGCGCCUCGUGAAUUCAUCUCCGGGGGUAGAGCACUGUUUCGGCUAGGGGGCCAUCCCGGCUUACCAACCCGAUGCAAACUGCGAAUACCGGAGAAUGUUAUCACGGGAGACACACGGCGGGUGCUAACGUCCGUCGUGAAGAGGGAAACAACCCAGACCGCCAGCUAAGGUCCCAAAGUCAUGGUUAAGUGGGAAACGAUGUGGGAAGGCCCAGACAGCCAGGAUGUUGGCUUAGAAGCAGCCAUCAUUUAAAGAAAGCGUAAUAGCUCACUGGUCGAGUCGGCCUGCGCGGAAGAUGUAACGGGGCUAAACCAUGCACCGAAGCUGCGGCAGCGACACUGUGUGUUGUUGGGUAGGGGAGCGUUCUGUAAGCCUGUGAAGGUGUGUCGUGAGGCAUGCUGGAGGUAUC